CACGUAGGGUGCGAGCGUUGUCCGGAAUUAUUGGGCGUAAAGAGCUCGUAGGCGGUGUGUCGCGUCGGCCGUGAAAACCUGCAGCUUAACUGUGGGCUUGCGGUCGAUACGGGCAUCACUGGAGUUCGGCAGGGGAGACUGGAAUUCUCGGUGUAGCGGUGAAAUGCGUAGAUAUCGAGAGGAACACCUGCGGCGAAGGCGGGUUGCUGGGCUGACACUGACGCUGAAGUGCGAAAGCUAGGGGAGCGAACGGG
rnacentral:rRNA from 1 species